GGAAAGUCUGAGGGCAUCUAGUGGACAGAGCAUGGUAAUGACUGAAGGAAGGGACAGAGACAGGACAGUGAACCGGACUGUGGACUGAGCGAGGUCCUGGAUGUUAUUACCUCCGUCAGACCAACAACCGUGUACAAGUCCUUCACCUCUGCCUGCAUCCACGGCUAUUUUAACAAGGAAACGAUGAGAGAUGAUCACGACCGAUGACUCAAACGUCUGCUGAAAACAUGAUGCUUCACAGGAAAUAAACUGUUGCAAU